GAUCCUGGCUUAGGAUGAACGCUAGCGGCAGGCUUAACACAUGCAAGUCGAGGGGCAGCGCGAGUAGCAAUACUUGGCGGCGACCGGCGCAAGGGUGCGUAACGCGUGAGCAACAUGCCCGUAUCAGGGGGAUAAUCCAGGGAAACUUGGUCUAAUACCCCAUAGUAAUUUUGUAAGGCAUCUUAUAAGAUUUAAAGCUUUGGUGGAUACGGAUUGGCUCGCGUGACAUUAGCUGGAUGGUAAGGUAACGGCUUACCAUGGCUAUGAUGUCUAGGGGUUCUGAGAGGAAGGUCCCCCACACUGGAACUGAGACACGGUCCAGACUCCUACGGGAGGCAGCAGUGAGGAAUAUUGGACAAUGGAUGGAAAUCUGAUCCAGCCAUGCCGCGUGAAAGGAAGAAGGUCCUAUGGAUUGUAAACUUCUUUUGUAUGGGAGCAAUAAGGCCUACGAGUAGGUUGAUGAGAGUACCAUACGAAUAAGCACCGGCUAACUCCGUGCCAGCAGCCGC
rnacentral:rRNA from 1 species